rnacentral:rRNA from 3 species
AGAGUUUGAUCAUGGCUCAGGACGAACGCUGGCGGCGUGCCUAACACAUGCAAGUCGAGCGGGGAGAGAUUUUCGGAUUUCUCUUUAGCGGCGGACGGGUGAGUAACACGUGGGUAACCUGCCUCAAAGAGGGGGAUAGCCUUCCGAAAGGAAGAUUAAUACCGCAUAAUAUCAGGGAGCUGCAUGGCAUUCUGAUCAAAGGAGCAAUCCGCUUUGAGAUGGACCCGCGGCGCAUUAGCUAGUUGGUGAGGUAACGGCCCACCAAGGCGACGAUGCGUAGCCGACCUGAGAGGGUGAUCGGCCACAUUGGAACUGAGACACGGUCCAGACUCCUACGGGAGGCAGCAGUGGGGAAUAUUGCACAAUGGGGGAAACCCUGAUGCAGCAACGCCGCGUGAGUGAUGAAGGCCUUCGGGUCGUAAAGCUCUUUGAUCAGGGACGAUAAUGACGGUACCUGAAAAACAAGCCACGGCUAACUACGUGCCAGCAGCCGCGGUAAUACGUAGGUGGCGAGCGUUGUCCGGAUUUACUGGGCGUAAAGAAUGCGUAGGUGGAUAUUUAAGUGGGAUGUGAAAUCCCCGGGCUCAACCCGGGAACUGCAUACCAAACUGGAUAUCUGGAGUGCAGGAGAGGAAA